CAAACUACCGAUUAGUUAUUUUUUAAUCUAUAUUUAGUGCUCUAUGCAUGUGCUGUAAGGAAAUCUAGAAAUUUUUGGGAGCUUGCCAAAUCCUUGGCAUGACAAAUUUUGGUAGCCAACUAAUUAGGCUCUUGAUUUUUCUAGCUAUAUUAUUUUUACUAAUAUAGUGUAACUUUAGUUGCAUGGCAAAACCUACAUAUCUAAUAAAACCAAAAUUCAUUAUAUUUUUUUGAGUCGAAAGAAAAUUUCUUAUAAUUAAGAAUAGAAGGAAUACAUUUCGGUGGUAUGUUGUUUAACUUGUCCUUGACAUUGGCUGGUUAUAAUAAUUCUUAUAAUUCUCCCCAACGUCAAAUCCUCAAUUCCUCGAACUCUAGCAUCAAGCACCAAUGCACUAGCGAGUGGGUGGCUGACGGCGGCGGCGCGCGGCUAGGUAGUGGCAUGACGGACUCUUCUUGGCGGGUUAUGAUGCGAGAAAGUCACAUCUCACCCCUUGAUUCUCAUAGGCUUCACUGAAAUUUGGUUUAUGUUGUUGCUUAUGUUGAUUUAUCGUAAGAGAAAAAAAUAAUGUUUGUUCAUUGAAAAGUAAUGCUAAAGUAAUGUCGAAGAAUAUGGCUGAUUCUCUCUCUAGGGCAUCAAUAAUGAGAUCGAUGACUCUAGAAUUAUUAUCCUCACGAGGAGUACCCUUGCACAUAAGAGUCAUAAAUUGGUCUGUUGUUGAUAAAAUUGAUGCCUAAACCAAGAACCUUCUUGUGACAAUCAGCAAAGUCAUCACAUGUAACAAGAUCUCGAUCGAAAUUCAAUUUGAUGUUGUUAGUGCAUUUAUUUAGCUAAACUAUAAGUAAACUAGAUUAAAAAAAUAGUUGUAAAAAAGAGAUGAAUCCCUUCUCUUUUUUUCGUGCACCGGUAGAUUCUCAAAGAGGAGGCAGAAGAGACCAGGGGCCCUAGAUGAUGACAAUGGUAGUGGUGAGGACGUCCCUAAUGGUAAUCAAAUAGCUAGUAUAUAAGGAAUUCUAUUGGCUAUGAGGACGUCUUCAAUGUAAUUUGCAAAUAACUAGCUAGAUGAGGUAUAGAAAAAAUAAAAAAAAAAAACACUUCUAUUGGCUAUUAAGGAGAGAGAUCAAAUAGCUAAUGACUGCCAAAUAGCUAGCGACUUCUAAAUAGCUAAUCUAACAUGAUCUCCUAGAAAUAUCCC
rnacentral:lncRNA from 1 species